rnacentral:rRNA from 1 species
CCUACGGGCGGCAGCAGUGAGGAAUAUUGGUCAAUGGACGAGAGUCUGAACCCGCCAAGUAGCGUGAAGGAUGACUGCCCUAUGGGUUGUAAACUUCUUUUAUAUGGGAAUAACAUGUUCCACGUGUGGGAUUUUGUAUGUACCAUAUGAAUAAGGAUCGGCUAACUCCUUGCCAGCAGCCGCGGUCAUACGGAGGAUCCGAGCGUUAUCCGGAUUUAUUGGGUUUAAAGGGAGCGUAGGUGGCUUGUUAAGUCAGUUGUGAAAGUUUGCGGCUCAACCGUAAAAUUGCAGUUGAAACUGGCAGUCUUGAGUACAGUAGAGGUGGGCGGAAUUCGUGGUGGAGCGGGGAAAUGCUUAGAUAGCACGAAGAACUCCGAUUGCGAAGGCAGUUCACUGGACUGCAACUGACACUGAGGCUCGAAAGUGUGGGUAUCAAACAGGAUUAGAUACCCCAGUAGUC